AUACUGUCAGUGUAAGCUGCUUCACAUGGAGAUAUUUCUGGUGGGAGCAUAACAGUAUUUGCAUGAAGACUGAACAGGGGUUAGUUCUACCUAACCUUAGGUGCCCAAGGUGCAUCACAUAGAAGCCCAGUCAUAUCCAGAGGACAAUCAGAUCUCAGACCCUCCUAAGGUGCCGAAAUCCACUCAGUCGCUUUCACACACCCACAGAAAAUAAUGGCUUGACCUGCCUGUGGCCAGAUCUGACAUGCCCUGCUGUGGUGGGAAAAUUAAUUCACCUCACUACACCGCAGUCACCCUCAGCUGAGUCCUGCAAUUAUUUCAUUAUGAUCUAAGUAAGGCUGAUAACAGAUCUCAUUUGAUACCAUGGAUGGCUGGGGGGGGCAGCAUGGGGGUGGGAAGUGGAUGCCCUCACAUGUCAAGGCCUUGCAUCUAACCAACCAAGCUUUGUAA
rnacentral:lncRNA from 1 species